rnacentral:rRNA from 1 species
UACGGAGGGUGCGAGCGUUGUCCGGAAUCACUGGGCGUAAAGGGCGCGUAGGCGGCUCAUGAAGGCUGUGGUGAAAGUCCGUGGCUCAACCUCGGAUCGGCCGUGGCGACUCGUGGGCUGGAGCACUGUAGAGGCGGGUGGAAUUCCGGGUGUAGCGGUGGAAUGCGUAGAGAUCCGGAAGAACACCAGUGGCGAAGGCGGCCCGCUGGGCAGUGGCUGACGCUGAAGCGCGACAGCGUGGGGAGCAAACAGG